GACGAACGCUGGCGGCGUGCUUAACACAUGCAAGUCGAACGGAAAGGCCCUGCUUUUGUGGGGUGCUCGAGUGGCGAACGGGUGAGUAACACGUGAGCAACCUGCCCUUGACUUUGGGAUAACUUCAGGAAACUGGGGCUAAUACCGGAUAGGAGCUCCUGCUGCAUGGUGGGGGUUGGAAAGUUUCGGCGGUUGGGGAUGGACUCGCGGCUUAUCAGCUUGUUGGUGGGGUAGUGGCUUACCAAGGCUUUGACGGGUAGCCGGCCUGAGAGGGUGACCGGCCACAUUGGGACUGAGAUACGGCCCAGACUCCUACGGGAGGCAGCAGUGGGGAAUAUUGCACAAUGGGCGGAGGCCUGAUGCAGCAACGCCGCGUGCGGGAUGACGGCCUUCGGGUUGUAAACCGCUUUCGCCUGUGACGAAGCGUGAGUGACGGUAAUGGGUAAAGAAGCACCGGCUAACUACGUG
rnacentral:rRNA from 1 species